AACAAGUUUGCGUAUCUGUGAACGCGCAUGAGAUAAAAAUUAAAGAUCUAAACAGUUACAUUUCGCUGAUUUUAGAAGCGCACAAAAAUGAAACGGGAAUUUUACGAGCGGAUUUUGCUGUGUACGACCUUUCUCCCUUCGUUAGUUAUGCUGAUUGCGGUACAAGCUUCGUAGUCAGUGCCAUGAAUGGAAUCAUCAAGAAGAAAACGAUUGAUA